rnacentral:lncRNA from 1 species
GCUUCCCACCCAGGAUUGUGACAGACUGGGUGUGGUGACCCAUGAGACUCUGGGCCAGAAUUCCAAGAUCUGGAACCGCUGUGUUGGGUAUAGGGGGGUGGACACUGCAACCAGGGCGACCUGGGUUGAGUCCAAACUGCCCACUUCUGACAGCCUGGGGGGCUCGGGCCUGCCAUUUGCCCUCUCUGAGCCUCAGUUCCCGCAUCCAUAUGAGGGGAAGGAACAACACCCCUAUGAAAGCAAAUGGCCUCCCGCGUGGAAUUCUGCAUCCAGCUCAAGUGGGCUCACAGAGCCGCUAAAAACCAGAAGUGGACCACUCGGCUUGGAAGAAUCUUCUGACAAUUCAGGCCGGAGGUUUAGAGGACUUCAGAGCCCUGCGGGACGAGAGGCCAUCAGUUCCGGCGAGCAAGCUCCUGCGCAGCCCCACUUCCCGCCCGUGCAGCACCUCUCAAGGAGGAUGGUUUAUGGAACCGGGGAGCAGGAAGCAGGAAGUAGGAAACAGGAAGUAGAAAGGUUCUAUUUUGGACGUGGCGGCUGAUAAGCUCAUCAAGGCUCGGGGUCCUUGAUGAGCAGCUGGGAGCAGGGGUGGCUCUGUUCGCUGGCCAGCAGCGGGAACCAAGUGAAUGAAGCGUGUUGUCAAUCACCUGGUGCCAAACGUUAUCGACAGAAACAUAAAAAGAUUGUCUAAAGUAUGGUAACCACAGAAAUCUGUUCUUUUAAUUAAUUCUUAAAAUCUGAACCUGUCAUUCCACCUCCUUCUGUAGCUGAGGUGAUGUUUGUCAUUUUUCAGCAGAACAACCAGAAAGGACCCCAGCAGACCUUGUCUGUUUUGCUAUUCCAAGAAGGACAAGGGAAGCAGUUAUUAAAGGCCGUCUUCCUGGGGGCACUUUCCUCCCUCGAAUCAUCUGGACAGCUGUCUGUUUUCGUGGUGAGAGUCGCAAAGCUUCCAAUUUAAAGAUCCAUCUGGUUCUUACAUCAAGCUAAGCCGUAAUCUUAAGGAGCAAGCCGGAACACACCAGGGAGAUGCGAAAAUUUAGGAACGAGUGUGUUUAUAUUGUAUUUGCAUUAAUGCUUCCUCGAGUUUAUUUUCAAAGUGAAGAAAGAACAAUGCAUAGUAGGCUAUUAAACCCAAACAUAAUCAGUUUAAAGUUAGGGGCGUGCUCCUAAGAAUAUUUUUCUCCUGUUUUGAAGGGUC